GUGGGGAAUUUUGGACAAUGGGGGCAACCCUGAUCCAGCCAUGCCGCGUGCGGGAAGAAGGCCUUCGGGUUGUAAACCGCUUUUAGUCGGAAAGAAAAGGCACGCCCUAAUACGGCGUGUUCUUGACGGUACCGGCGGAAUAAGCACCGGCUAACUACGUGCCAGCAGCCGCGGUAAUACGUAGGGUGCGAGCGUUAAUCGGAAUUACUGGGCGUAAAGCGUGCGCAGGCGGUUCGUUGUGUCUGAUGUGAAAUCCCCGGGCUCAACCCGGGAACUGCAUUGGAAACUGGCGGACUUGAGUGUGGCAGAGGGGGGUGGAAUUCCGCGUGUAGCAGUGAAAUGCGUAGAUAUGCGGAGGAACACCGAUGGCGAAGGCAGCCCCCUGGGCCAACACUGACGCUCAGGCACGAAAGCGUGGGGAGCAAACAGGAUUAGAUACCCCAGUAGUCC
rnacentral:rRNA from 1 species